GAUGAACGCUGGCGGCGUGCCUAAUACAUGCCAGUAGAACGCUGAAGGAGGAGCUUGCUCUUCUGGAUGAGUUGCGAACGGGUGAGUAACGCGUAGGUAACCUGCCUGGUAGCGGGGGAUAACUAUUGGAAACGAUAGCUAAUACCGCAUGACAACAGUUAUUGCAUGAUAACUGUUUAAAAGGGGCAACUGCUCCACUACCAGAUGGACCUGCGUUGUAUUAGCUAGUUGGUGAGGUAACGGCUCACCAAGGCGACGAUACAUAGCCGACCUGAGAGGGUGAUCGGCCACACUGGGACUGAGACACGGCCCAGACUCCUACGGGAGGCAGCAGUAGGGAAUCUUCGGCAAUGGACGGAAGUCUGACCGAGCAACGCCGCGUGAGUGAAGAAGGUUGUCGGAUCGGAAAGCUCUGUUGUAAGAGAAGAACGAGUGUGAGAGUGGAAAGUUCACACUGUGACGGUAUCUUACCAGAAAGGGACGGCUAACUACGUG
rnacentral:rRNA from 1 species